UAGCCUUGACAUUGAUAGAAUACACCAGAGAUGGAGUAGUGCCUUUCGGGGAACUUGAAAACAGGUGCUGCACGGCUGUCGUCAGCUCGUGUCGUGAGAUGUUGGGUUAAGUCCCGCAACGAGCGCAACCCUCGUCCUUAGUUGCCAGCAGGUUAAGCUGGGCACUCUAAGGAGACUGCCUUCGUAAGGAGGAGGAAGGUGAGGACGACGUCAAGUCAUCAUGGCCCUUAUGGCUAGGGCUACACACGUGCUACAAUGGGGCGUACAGAGUGUUGCGAUACCGCGAGGUGGAGCUAAUCACUUAAAGCGUCUCUCAGUUCGGAUAGCAGUCUGCAACUCGACUGCUUGAAGCUGGAAUCACUAGUAAUCGUAGAUCAGCAAUGCUACGGUGAAUACGUUCACCGGGUCU
rnacentral:rRNA from 1 species